GACCCCUUAGCUCAGUGGAUUAGAGCAUCUGAUUCCAGCUACGUCUUCGAAUCUGAUUCCAGAAGGUCGUCCGUUCGAUCCGGGCAGGGGUCA